rnacentral:rRNA from 1 species
CAGUCGCCGCGGUAAUACGAAGGGGGCUAGCGUUGUUCGGAAUUACUGGGCGUAAAGCGCACGUAGGCGGACAUUUAAGUCAGGGGUGAAAUCCCGGGGCUCAACCCCGGAACUGCCUUUGAUACUGGGUGUCUAGAGUAUGGAAGAGGUGAGUGGAAUUCCGAGUGUAGAGGUGAAAUUCGUAGAUAUUCGGAGGAACACCAGUGGCGAAGGCGGCUCACUGGUCCAUUACUGACGCUGAGGUGCGAAAGCGUGGGGAGCAAACAGGAUUAGAUACCCGGGUAGUCCCUGUCUCUUUAAA